rnacentral:rRNA from 1 species
GACGAACGCUGGCGGCGUGCUUAACACAUGCAAGUCGAACGGAAAGGCCCUGCUUUUGUGGGGUGCUCGAGUGGCGAAAGGGUGAGUAACACGUGAGUAACCUGCCCUUGACUUUGGGAUAACUUCAGGAAACUGGGGCUAAUACCGGAUAGGAGCUCCUGCUGCAUGGUGGGGGUUGGAAAGUUUCGGCGGUUGGGGAUGGACUCGCGGGUUAUCAGCUUGUUGGUGGGGUAGUGGUUUACCAAGGCUUUGACGGGUAGCCGGCCUGAGAGGGUGACCGGCCACAUUGGGACUGAGAUACGGCCCAGACUCCUGCGGGAGGCAGCAGUGGGGAAUAUUGCACAAUGGGCGGAAGCCUGAUGCAGCAACGCCGCGUGCGGGAUGACGGCCUUCGGGUUGUAAACCGCUUUCGCCUGUGACGAAGCGUGAGUGACGGUAAUGGGUAAAGAAGCACCGGCUAACUACGUG